GAUGAACGCUGGCGGCGUGCCUAAUACAUGCAAGUCGAGCGAACAGACGAGGAGCUUGCUCCUCUGACGUUAGCGGCGGACGGGUGAGUAACACGUGGAUAACCUACCUAUAAGACUGGGAUAACUUCGGGAAACCGGAGCUAAUACCGGAUAAUAUAUUGAACCGCAUGGUUCAAUAGUGAAAGACGGUUUUGCUGUCACUUAUAGAUGGAUCCGCGCCGCAUUAGCUAGUUGGUAAGGUAACGGCUUACCAAGGCAACGAUGCGUAGCCGACCUGAGAGGGUGAUCGGCAACACUGGAACUGAGACACGGUCCAGACUCCUACGGGAGGCAGCAGUAGGGAAUCUUCCGCAAUGGGCGAAAGCCUGACGGAGCAACGCCGCGUGAGUGAUGAAGGUCUUCGGAUCGUAAAACUCUGUUAUUAGGGAAGAACAAAUGUGUAAGUAACUAUGCACGUCUUGACGGUACCUAAUCAGAAAGCCACGGCUAACUACGUG
rnacentral:rRNA from 1 species